UACGAAGGGGCGUAGCGUUGUUCGGAUUUACUUGGGCGGUAAAGACGCGUGUAGGCGGACUUGUAAGUUGGGGGUGGAAAUACCCGACGGCUCAACCUCGGAACUGCCUCCAAAACUACAAGUCUGGACUCAAGUAGAGGCAAGUGGAAUUGCGAGUGUAGAGGUGAAAUUCGUAGAUAUUCGCAGGAACACCAGUGGCGAAGGCGACUUGCUGGACUUGUAGUGACGCUGAGACGCG
rnacentral:rRNA from 1 species